AUGUUACAUGAAUUUUAUGUGAUCUCAAAAUACCAAUCAAAUUGAAAGAGAUGUUUCAGAGGACCACAUUUCAGCCAACUAUUAUGCAUUGGUGAUGGAAAGUGUUGGGCAGUGAAGAAACAUGAUUACAAGAACCAACCCUUCCAUGGAAUGUUCAAGUGGCAGCCAAAUUGAUUCCCUCACCUUGUAAUACAGCUUUUGAAACACACAAUCCCAUGGUAUCAAACCAUCAUAUUUCGCCAUAAUGUAGCUACCACAUUCAGUAAAAAGUGAUUUAUUAUAGUGGAGUGGUCUUAAUUUACAAAUUAAAGAAGAGAGACAAUACUAAGAAAUAUAGUGAAAAGUUUAGGAAUGAAAUUUACCCAUGUAUUUGAUAGUUUCCGCCCACAAAAUGGAGUUACCAAUAUCUUGGCUCAUAGUUACCCAAUUUGCUCAUCCCCCCCAGCACCGUGAUCUGGGAGAUGUGCGUCCCAAAACG
rnacentral:misc_RNA from 1 species